UUGCUAUUUCAGCUCCAGUUGUUGCAGUAGCUUCUCCGUCCGCACUGAGAGCUUUGUUAAAUCUCAUCUCACAAGUUGAUAGUUGCAACAACUCCAUUGCCUGCAUUGGUGAGACCACUGCCUCAGCAGCGAAGAAAUUGGGCCUGAAGAGCAUAUAUUAUCCUACAACCCCUGGACUUGAAGGGUGGGUCGAAAGCAUUCUUGAAGCUCUCAGAGUCCAUAGGGAAUCAAAAAAGGUUCUUCUCUUAUCCUUGCCACACGGUACACUUCCCUUCAUUUUCUUGGUUUCGUUCGUCAUAUGGCCUUCCCUGUUUCUGCAGUAGGCCCCAAAGUGUUGAAAACGAGCA